rnacentral:lncRNA from 1 species
UGAGAAACUCACCAUGUUGCUACCACCUCACUAACCAGAGUGACUCCAGUUUCACGUUUUCACGCCCUGGGACAUGGCAUCACAGUUGCUUUUGCAACUCUAGCUUGUCUACAGCCAUUGUUUAGCCCCGCCCCACCUUUGUUUAGAGUUGAGUGGUAGUUGAAUCAUCUCGUCCAGGGUAAGCUUGGAGCGCUUUGUGCAUAGCCAUGAAUGAGAUGACCAAUAAGUUGAUUCAAUGUAAAGUAGAAUAACCACUUGUUCGUACGGCCGUUGGCGAUUCCAUGUUUAGCCCGUCCUACCUUUGUUUAAAGUUGAGUGGUAUUUGCAUCAUCUCGUCCAGGGCAAGCUUCGAGUGUUUGGUUUAUAGCCAUGAGUUCUAUGUAAAGUAGGAUGGCCACUUAGCUCUACAUUGAAUCAAUGCCAAUUUUCUAAGAGUGUUGGAUCGAGGCACUAGUUUAGCCUAAAUUCAAGGAGUAGGUCAUCUUGGGUGCCUUUUGCAUGUGGGAGUUUUUCGCCUUGUUUUCAUAUUAUAGGAAGUGUAUGGUGUUGGAGAGGUUCUCUACAUGAGGUGUGGGCUCUAGACGAGCGUCCGCAUUUUCAUCGUCUGCGUUGUAGAGUGUGGAAAGGCAGGCAAUUAGGCUAUUCCCAUUGCAGCUCCUUUUCAGUGUGUU